rnacentral:rRNA from 1 species
GAUGAACGCUGGCGGCGUGCCUAAUACAUGCAAGUCGAGCGAACAGACGAGGAGCUUGCUCCUCUGACGUUAGCGGCGGACGGGUGAGUAACACGUGGAUAACCUACCUAUAAGACUGGGAUAACUUCGGGAAACCGGAGCUAAUACCGGAUAAUAUAUUGAACCGCAUGGUUCAAUAGUGAAAGACGGUUUUGCUGUCACUUAUAGAUGGAUCCGCGCCGCAUUAGCUAGUUGGUAAGGUAACGGCUUACCAAGGCAACGAUGCGUAGCCGACCUGAGCGGGUGAUCGGCCACACUGGAACUGAGACACGGUCCAGAGUCCUACGGGAGGCAGCAGUAGGGAAUCUUCCGCAAUGGGCGAAAGCCUGACGGAGCAACGCCGCGUGAGUGAUGAAGGUCUUCGGAUCGUAAAACUCUGUUAUUAGGGAAGAACAAAUGUGUAAGUAACUAUGCACGUCUUGACGGUACCUAAUCAGAAAGCCACGGCUAACUACGUG